rnacentral:rRNA from 1 species
ACGUAGGCACCAAGCGUUGUCCGGAUUUAUUGGGCGUAAAGAGCUCGUAGGCGGUUUAGUAAGUCGGGUGUGAAAACUCUGGGCUUAACCCAGAGCCGCCACUCGAUACUGCUAUGACUUGAGUUCGGUAGGGGAGCAGGGAAUUCCUAGUGUAGCGGUGAAAUGCGCAGAUAUUAGGAGGAACACCGGUGGCGAAGGCGCUGCUCUGGGCCGAAACUGACGCUGAGGAGCGAAAGCGUGGGUAGCAAACAGGAUUAGAUACCCUGGUAGUCCACGCCGUAAACGUUGGGCACUAGGUGUGGGUCUCAACCAACGAGAUCCGCGCCGUCGCUAACGCAUUAAGUGCCCCGCCUGGGGAGUACGGCGGCAACGCUA